ACUACGGGUGGCAGCAGUGGGGGAUAUUGCACAAUGGGGGGAACCCUGAUGCAGCGACGCCGCGUGGGUGAAGAAGCGCCUCGGCGCGUAAAGCCCUGUCAGCAGGGAAGAAAAUGACGGUACCUGAAGAAGAAGCCCCGGCUAACUACGUGCCAGCAGCCGCGGUAAUACGUAGGGGGCAAGCGUUAUCCGGAUUUACUGGGUGUAAAGGGGGCGCAGACGGCGAUGCAAGCCAGGAGUGAAAGCCCGGGGCCCAACCCCGGGACUGCUCGUGGUACUGCGUGGCUGGAGUGCAGGAGGGGCAGGCGGAAGUCCUGGUGUAGCGGUGAAAUGCGUAGAUAUCAGGAGGAACACCGGUGGCGAAGGCGGCCUGCUGGACUGCAACUGACGUUGAGGCCCGAAAGCGUGGGGAGCAAACAGGAUUAGAUACCCGAGUAGUC
rnacentral:rRNA from 1 species